rnacentral:rRNA from 1 species
GAUUAGUGGCGAACGGGUGAGUAACACGUGAGUAACCUGCCUUUCACUCUGGGAUAAGCCUUGGAAACGAGGUCUAAUACUGGAUAUGACUCUUGGCCGCAUGGUUGGGGGUGGAAAGCCUUUUUGGUGGUGGAUGAUGGACUCGCGGACUAUCAGCUUGUUGGUGGGGUUGUGGCCUACCAAGGCGAUGACGGUUAGCCGGCCUGAGAGGGUGACCGGCCACAUUGGGACUGAGACACGGCCCAGACUCCUACGGGAGGCAGCAGUGGGGAAUAUUGCACAAUGGGCGAAAGCCUGAUGCAGCGACGCCGCGUGGGGGAUGACGGCCUUCGGGUUGUAAACUCCUUUCGCUCGUGACGAAGCCUUUCGGGGUGACGGUAGCGGGAGAAGAAGCACCGGCUAACUACGUGCCAGCAGCCGCGGUAAUACGUAGGGUGCGAGCGUUGUCCGGAAUUAUUGGGCGUAAAGAGCUUGUAGGCGGUUUGUCGCGUCUGCUGUGAAAGCCCGGGGCUUAACUCCGGGUCUGCAGUGGGUACGGGCAGGCUAGAGUGUGGUAGGGGAGACUGGAAUUCCUGGUGUAGCGGUGAAAUGCGCAGAUAUCAGGAGGAACACCGAUGGCGAAGGCAGGUCUCUGGGCCAUU